rnacentral:misc_RNA from 1 species
GUAUAUGAUUAUCCCAUUGAUCACAUUCUACGACAUACUAUGUGGUAUAUGAAUACAUAGUACUCGAGGGAGAGGUUUCGCAAGUCAUUUGAGAAGAGCUGUAUGCUUUCGCACUCAGCAUUCCUCACGUCCGGAAAGGCCAUAGCCCAUCCGAUAGUCGACUGCUCUCAACCCCCAAGACUACAAAAGGUGCACAGGUGGAUGAAUAAAGUCAAGACAAGUGUGCACAUGCCCCGUAGAGCCAGCUACAACCCAUCAAGAAUAUUCUAUAAUGAUCCUUCCGCAGGUUCACCUACGGAAA